rnacentral:lncRNA from 1 species
UUCAUUAAUUUAUUCCCUUAUUUAAUAACACAAUUGUUAUUUUAUUUAAUAAAUUUAAUUCUUGACUAAUCCUCUCUUUUUUUUCAAAAAUCCAACAGCAUUUUAUUUAUAGUUUGAUCUAUCCGAAUUUCACAUAUCACAAUGAUAAUACAGCCCAUCCAUUGGGCACUUUACAAUAAUUUCCCAUCCGUCAUUCUCAAUAUUUCUCAAAUCACAUUUUUAAUAUUUCUUUCUGUCUUUGAUUAACUCAUUGAUAGAUUAAAAUUUCUUCAAACAUCAAUUUCACACAACUAACGGAUUCUUGCCAGCUUUAAUUGAUAUUUUUUAUGAAUUUGUUAAUUUCACCAAGUAACUUGAAAAUUAGUCACACUGUUAAUCUCAUACGGUUAACUUAUUAUUUGAUCAAGAUCAAUUCAAUUAAAAUACUAAUUUCUAUCUUGAAUUUUACACUGAAAUUAGAUAACUGAAUCUUAAAGUAUACCAAUUGCAAUUUGGAGUUCAGAUUUGGGUUCAACGCGAAGAAACGGUCAUUCUGCCUCUUGGGGUCUCGUCGGAGACUCAUUGGCCGGUCACCAACUCGCUAUCGGUGCCGCCUUCCAUGGUGUCCAAAAAAAUUGGCCUUUGUUAGAUUAUAAGGGAUUCUUACAUUCCUAUACUCAAAAAUUCACAAGGAGCUCAAAUCCGUGCUCUGUUUGUGCAUUUGGCGAGCUGAUUGGUCGGAAUUGAGCUCGACCAACGCCAUCUACGAUGCUCUCAUCAUCCAGGACCCGUUGCCGAAAUUAAGAGAGGGGAAAGGACUGAGAGGUGACGAGGAGUCAAUCGACGCUCGUCCUUCCAAUUGGAACCACCGGUAAUGAUAUGAAAUCGCUAUUGGCUCAUUAAAAGAAUGGAAUGUCUUGAUCGCGCCACUAGAGGCCCAAUUGGUGCAAGAAAAGGCUGGAAUCGUGUCCAACAUUAAGAAAGGGACCGAUCAUCGCCUUGUUCUCGCUGAACGGUGGCUGAAAAUAAGAAGAGAGGAGAGAGAUAGGGUCAGCGACGAGAGAGAGAGAGUGUGUGUUUUUCCUUUUCUUCUUCUUU